AACAAAUAAACACAGUUAUUACUAUAUACUGUAAAACACUUCAAAGCAUUUAGAAAAUUACAAGCAUGACCAAAUCCCCAUAGCAUCAAUGUGAUGUACCUUCUGUGAGGACUUGAAUGGGCAACACGAACCCUACUGGCUGAAAACUCACACCUGUAACAGUUGAUAUUCCCUCUUCAUAAAACAAUUACAAAACAUCUUACAUGCAAAAAACCCACAUGAUACUUUUUCAGUGUAACAGCAAAGAACAAACAAUAUUCGAGCCUGAUAGGCCUGUAGCCUCAACAAGAGGACUUCACAGAAGAACAACACCACCAUUGUUCCUUCUUCCCAUCAGUGAAGAAAGCGCCAUACCAUUCCUCUGGUCGUAAGCUCAUGCAAAAUUGCCACAAAAACAUGGAUACUUCCCUAAUAUGAGAGUUAAGUACAGGAUUUAGUAUUGAUCCUUGCAAACAAAGAGUAUCAAGUACAAGAGAAAUAGCCUUCAUUUUUUUUCUUAACAGUGGAAAGAACACUUACUCUCAUCAGCAUCAGGUGGGCUCAUUCUUUGCUCGUUUUAAACACAAAAUGGGUUUCCAAAUCUAAACUUGAAACAAGAUGGGAAAGAGGCUUUUCUUUUUGUUCGUAAAGAAUUUAUAUUGCAGCAUAGGCACACACUAACUCUAUACCCACAACUAAGCAUUUUUGUUUCAAUUACGGUCUGAGUUUAUCAGAUGUAUAUUCCAUGUUAUAGAUUGGGGGUUUGAACUACCAAAAGCAUAGAAUAUUUACAUUAGAAGGGACCUCUGAAAUUCAUUAGCCCAAAUGCUGCUAAAAGCAGCUCUCAUUAGAGCUUAUGUGGGCAACCUGAUCUAUCUGAAGGACGGACAUUCCACAACAUUUCUGGGCAGCCUGGUCCAAUGGCCAAGAUACCCAUAUAAAUUGAAAUCUCAGUACCUACUCAUAUAUCAAACUAUACAAAUUCAACUGUUCAGCAAAAUCCAAGAAAAUACAUGUCUGCAUACUUAAAAUUCCUUGAGUCUCAAUUGUACACUCCUCAUCCCACAUAAUAAAGACAAAUAUUACUCUUCCAAUAUGCAAGAAUAUUGCUGCAUUUUUACCCCCUAUUCUUCUUCUCCACUUCAGCUGAAAAUAAUUUUUCUGACUAAGAAAGAAUGAUAACAAAAAAAGACCAAUAAAAAAAUAUCUAACACUAUUUCAAUCCAUUCUCCAUCUGGUUUUAUUGAAAUAGACAAGUUAAUUCACAAUCAUUCCAUUAAUCAAACUGCUUGAAGGAGUGAAGACUCUUGAGAAAACCAUUUACAUGACUGCCCCUUUCACAAUAGAAAUGUCUAGAGCAAUCAAAUCCUUCCCUUUAAAAAGAACAGUAAUGGGAGCCUCCAGAAAACUGCCUGAAGAUCCCUAUUCUACAAACACCUCUACUGCUUUAGCUGUUUAACUAAGCUGUAUUUGAAAAACACCAGUCAGGUGACAGACAGCUAAGAAAAGAUUUAAAAACCUGUCGUUAGGUAUUUACCCUAGUCUUCUUUAUGUCAAAACACUAAACCUUCUCUUUCUAAAGUACUGUCCUGGAAAACUCGGAAGUACUAAGUAAUACACAAGACUUGCUCAAAGUGAAAAAACACUGCAACUUCUUUGAAAUAACAAUUGAUAAAACCUCAAAUAGCAAAAAGGGGGAAAAGUGUAUUAAGCAUUUCUCUAAACUAAUUUUCUAUACAAUAGCAGAAAUGCAGGAAAAUGGAAAGAAAUGUAAGUGAACAUAUCACAAGGCUAACAUGUUAAAACAAAAUCUCAGGAUGUUUGCUUUGGACAAAGCCAGAUGGUCUAGCUUGCUCCCAAAACCAAAGCUAUUCACUUUUAAGAGGGGCCAGCAAUCCUAUAUAUAACUGUAUAAAGAAUUUACUAGAUAAGUAACCUUUAGAAGCAUUAACUUAUGCCUGAGCAGGACAUUGAUUAAUAUACACAAUUUAACACUCUAAGGCUACAGCUGUUCUGCACUACAAGGAAGCAAAAAACAGGAAAGGGUAAUGUACACAACCACAUAAAUGGGAAAGUUGAUCUUACAUACAGUUUAUUUGCUUUCUAAGAAUUCAUAAUUAAUGUUUUAAUACAUCAAAAUACACAAGGUUUUUGGGUUUGUUUUUUUGGUGGGUUUUUAAAUUUUAUUUUUGCUAACUCAUCAGGUAGCAAUAGCUACAAAGUCCCCCACUUAAUCACACGGAGUAGCUUAACUUACUUUCCAGGCAGGAGAAAAACCAUCACACCAGGGAAGUAUUACUUUGAUGACUACAACAUCUCAGAAUCUAAGAAAUCCAACUUAAACAGUGUACACCACAAGCUCAGAAGGGUAUUAAUGAACAAGCAACCUUCAUGUUCAAAUACAAGGCAAAAACAGGCAGAUGCUUUGGAUUUUGCUGCACAUUCCUAUUUAUUCUUAAAAUGGAUACUACUAAAAAGACCUAACUGCACUAUUUUUAAGACAUCAACAGUCACUUUACUAGUCAAGCUAAUGGGUGGGAGGGGCACAACAUUAAUCCGACUCAACUCUUAUGUUUUCUACCUCUCUUUGUGGCAAGAGUGGCAUGCAUUGCUCGAACAAAUAACAUCUCUUAGUAUUUUCUCCAAAACCAUGGUAGGCAAUUCCCACUUCAAACCCAGAGAGCAAGUAGGCCUUAUUGGAUGGCUAAAGGCCCCUGCUUUAGACUCUCCAAGUUGCAGUUCACUGCAAUUUCUCUGGAUGCAAAGUAGCUUUAAGAAGUCCCUUCCCCUUCAGUCCUCUGCUACCCCAGUGGUUGUGUUCCUGUCACACUGUAGCCCUGAAAGAGUUUUAAACUGGAUUACCAAGGUGACCAGGUUUAAGAAAAAAAAGACUCAAAGUCUUCAGUUUUUAGGCAGUCGUUUUACUGAAACAGUAUGACCUGUGGUUUGGCAAACUGCUUUAUCAAGGCAAUCAAGGUACUGAAUAAACUCAGUGGGGGAAUGAGCAACCAUGAAUAAGGGUACAUUCAUACAUCUAAAAAAAGCUUUCCUAAAGUAACUGCAGUCUGAGAGUAUGUUCCAAAAGUAAGGGCAGGACAUGGGGAAAGAAAAAAACAAAAACAAAAACACAAACCACAACAAAAAAAAAACCACGUCCUGGACAAUUAUUUUUAAAUCAUCAACUUGAAACCCCAUCAGCUUGACAUAGCCACUGAAAACAUACAUACAAUUUAAAAUACAAAGCUGACUCACAAAGCUGCAGAGUCAACAGAAGAAAACAAUUAUACAAAGGAAAUGGGAAAAUGGAUCCCAAAUGCCAUUAAAUGUUCACAGUAAACAAGAAAAAGUUAUAUAUAAACCUGAACCAAGUUCACAAGCAACUCCAGUGACAGAGCUACACUGCAUUUUCAGAAGCACAAAUCAUUGGUGAGCAAUCACUAAAUACCAUUCCUACCCUCUAAAAAAGAAAACCAUCAGAAACUAUUAUGGUAGUUUUUGUCUCACAGAUAUACUCCCAGCCUACCUAACAUAUAUCACUUAUCAAUAUCUGCAUGGUAAGGACCAUGGUUUGAGUUUCUUUGUUUUAUGUUUGGUUUUCUACCUACCUAAUCUGUUUUAUGAUUUAGUUUAGUACCUCUGCUUGUAGACUGCCACCUGAAACACCAAUGAGAAAACCUCACCAGCCACAAUCUAAACCCCAGUCAAAAGGUAAUGACAGUCUAGACAAGUUCUCAAAGGAUAGACGCAACCUAUAAAAGUUAAAAAAAAAAAUUAAAUGCCAGAACUGGGCCUCAAAUGGCAUUUCUUUUCCUGACAGAAGGAUGUUAAACUCAUAAUUUAUCAACCGAAUACUCUGUAGCAUAGAUUAGUCCACUAAUUGCAUGGAGAUUUAAAGAGCUUUUGAACUGGGCAGGAAAACAAAGUAUUUUUUUCAUUAAAAAAUGCAUUAACAAACAGAUACUUUAACAUUCCAGCAUACACAGAUAACUGUGAUUUUUCCUCAGUUCUCCUUAGAUUCCAAAAAAUCUAAUUCUCCCAUUAAAAUUCAACAAGAUACAAAAAAUUUUGUAAGGUAUUUUGCUUAUUACUAGUAAAACAUUAUAUUCAUAUAUAAAUACAUAAUCUACACAAAGUCCAUAAACUGCUUGAUGCCAUUAAUUUUAUGUUCAGAAAUGUAAAAAUUCACUAAAAGCAAACCAAAAAUAUCCCGGAAGAAAUGAAGUAGCUGGUCAAAUACUUGGUGCUGGGUAACCUUAUAAGCAGAGUGAAGCACUCUGCUUUCGUUAUCAAACACCCUACACAUACCAAAAUGACCACCCUCAAAAACUUCAGCAGUUAUGACACAAUGCAUAAACAAGGUUUGCCUAGCUAAUGAGCAAUAUAUUUUAUGUCCCAAGUCAUAGCUACAUCAUUCAUUGUGUGUUCCCUAUUCCUCUUCCCCAGAGGCAUAUUAUGCUUACUAACAGAGUGCAAGUAGUCUACCUCAUUCUCACGAUGUAUGAUGUUGCUUCACAAUGGUUUUUAAUGACAAGUUCAGGCCAUAGCAAUCUUCCUUGACUCAAGUCGAUUCAUAUAGAAAUUCAUUUGCUUCAGUGUUUUGCUGUCCUGGCAUUUUUAUAUACCUGUCAUUGUAUACCAGUCUACAUAUCAAGAUUACUUGAAUAUGUAAUAUAAAAAGAUUUAGGAGCAAUAUUCAGCACAUUUAAAGCGUUGCUUAACCCAUAGAUCACAGACUGCAUUCAUGCUACUAAUUCACAUCCCAUGUACUCAUCUGCUUAAAAAUUAGUGUUAGGUAUUGAACUUGAAUAUUGUCUGCCCCAACUUAAUCUUUACCUAAACAGCAAAACAUAGGUACAGUAAAUCUCAGACAAGUUUUUACACUGACACAAAGACAGUGUUUUUCCAUCACACCAAAGGCUCAAGAAAAUUUUACACCACCUUUAGGAAACAAUAUAGGAUCAAAAAGUUAGCACAUGGAUGAAAAAAUAUUUCAUCCUUCAUUAAACUGCAAUUUUUACAUGGCCUAGACAUAUCUGUUAACAUUCUAGUUAAAAACUGUAUUCCCUCCAUAUUAGUAAAAUAAAGUUUGACCACAAAAAUAUUCUAAGACUACAACCUCUUGAAGGCUGCAGAAAGAAUAAAGCUGGAGCCAACCAUGUAAGCAAAGGUAUUACUCUGUAACAAAGUCUCUUUCUUCUUAAAGUUUUAUAAACUCACAGAAAAGAGAGAUGGGAGCACCUUAGAGAAGUCGAUCCCGCCUCAUCCCACUAUCAAAAAGCAGGAUUAACUGUACGUAGACAACUAUCUACAAAGCAUGGCUAGAGGUCCUACAAAGGUAAUAAGCUUGCCCUCCACACCUAUUUUCUUUCUCACUGUAAAUAGAUGGUCAGAACAAUUCCUCCUUUAUUAUCUACUACCACAAAAUCAGAUUCUGCUUGCACAGAAUUAUGGAAUUACUCUUUCCUUGGUUUUAGCUGCAUGUACCUGAAAAGAUUUCACACUUGGCAUGAUCACUAGGACCUCCCCAAAAUGCACCCCAGUUAUCUCAAAGCUUUGCCUUUAGUAUUGAUCUAAAUAGACAUUUCUCAAACUUUUCAUGAAGCAGAAGAGAAAUAUCUAGAAAUAUUUAAUAUUGCUUGAAGAACAAAUCAGAUUCUUGAAAAAGAAAUCCUUGUUGUAACGAAGAUCAAGCCUGUCUAGUUGUUAUAUAAGAAAUAUAAACCUCAGGAUUAAAAUAAUGCAUUAUACUUACUUUUCCAAACCUCCUAUGCUAAACUUAAGUAUAACCUACAUCCAGCUGAUUACUUCAAGCACAUUCUAGUUGUGUUUUAUUGUUUAGUUUACAGAAAAUAUCCCAUAAAUAAUGACGUCAUCUUCUCUCUGCUCUGCUGAUCAAGAAUCCUAUCUGGUUACUCUGGAUUUUGCCCAUUAUGCCUAUGCCAUUUAUUUCUUACAGCAUGCCUUAUAAAGAACUUUGUUGACAUUUUAAGAAUUUGAUUGUGCCAGCAAUCUACCUGCUAAAAAUAAGUACACAUUCACUAUCUUCUUCUCCAUAGAGUUCAAGGAGUUGCAUGAUUGUAUUUCCUGCUUUCAGGAACCAAACCAAAACAUAGCUACCAACCUCACAGUAUGCAGAAACAAACUAUCGUUGGCCUUAGCAUUACUUAGUAAUUAAGGAAAUUAACUAUGAUCAAUAUAUUUAAGUACAAGACAAAGUAAAUACUCAGAUAUGGCAUAUGAUCUGCUCAAACAUCUCAGCUAAGCAUAACUGGGAAACAUGUCUCAGUAGCAACAUCAGCUUAUACGUUUCUCCUCCUCCUCACAAUUAAUGUGCCAGGUUUACCCAUCCAUGAAAAAAGAGCACUUAAGGUUCAAAAUAAUUUAGACAGAAUAUGGUUUGCUUUAAUUCUUUCUUGGGUUUUUUUGUUGGUUUUUUCCCUUUUUCUUUCUUUCAUACCUGGAUCACUUCUAGUUCAUUCCACCAUGUGGACCUACAUGUGGUUUAAAGGGCAUAAUCAAAGGACUACUUAAGCUGACAGUGCCAGAACAACAAGGAAAAAGCACCUGACGAUCAUACCUAGUCCUUCAUCCUCUCCUGGCCUUAGGGGAAGUAGAACUGCAUUAAACUACAAUGCUCCUGACCUCCAGGCCAGACAUCCAAGGUGGAUAGAUGUAAGCUUUCAUUUUAAGUAAAGCCUUAAUUUUAAGUAUCAUUUGAAGUGAAACUUUGAUUUUAAAUGACACACUUUUAAGUUCAGGCAUAAAUUAAAAAAAAAAAAAGUUCAUUAGCUCGAUUUCCUAUAUACACACCAAAUACCUCACUCUCAAUGAAUUAAGAAAACUAGCUUUAUUUUUAAAAGCUUUACUAAGGUAAUGGAAUUUUAGUGAAAUUAAUUAAAAUGCCAAAAAUGGCCAGCUUAUGUCCCUUGGCAUUUCAGAAGUGGUGGAUAUUUUUGAAAAGAAUGGAAAUCUAAAGCAGCUAUUUAUUUUCAUUCUGUACAUCCAACUUAGACAAAAUAAAUCAUUCUACUAGAGCUGCAGUAGAGGUUUCUGUUAUCAAAGCCUAAUUUUUUAGAUACUCAAUUCAAGUGCUUACCAGUGAAUUUGUUUAGAACCCCGAUCGUAAUUACGUACUGAUUUAAUACAGGUUUUUAGUUAUUUUAAUGAUAGUAAAUACAACCAGAACAGUUUGCUGCAACUUCAAAUUAAAUAUAUUUUUAAAGAGUUAGUUAUCUGAUUUAAAUAGUAUUUAUCUGUUCUGGACACUACAGUCAAAUUGCCUUUGCAUAACUAAGCAGAUGAAAUAACAAGCAAUUUCAAUCACAAGUCAAAGUAUAUCACUGCAUAAAACAGACACAAAGGUAUUUAGGAAACGUUUGGGCUUCUUCACCUUACUAGUAAGGUGGUAGCUACAGAACAGGUCAGGCAAACUAGAAGAGACAGCAAAGAACAGGUUAAAAAAAGUUUAUUUUCCAGAGGAAAAAAAACUCUUAAGCAAGAAAAACCAUUGCCUACCAUUUGCUUGAUCUAUUGUUCAAGGAAAUUGUACUUUAGGGAAUAUGCACAAACUGAGCAACAAAGGAAAAACACCUAUCAUCGAAGAGGAACAUUCAACAAGUUUGUGAAUUCCGCUUAAUGUCUAGCUUCCUCGUAGUAAUCAGAACCUACAACCAGAAGUGAAAUAAGCAGGAAGCCUGAUGAGAAAGAGGAAGCCACAUGACGAAAGAACAUACUGACAACUAGUAACAGUGCUGCCAAUUGCCUUCGAGGUUGAGCAAGGUUGUUUUAAGGUCUGCUGUUAAGAAGAGACCUCAAAACCUUCAUUAGUCAAAAGCAGUAUCUCAAGAAAGGCAGCAGAAGGAUCAAUCAAGUUUCUUUAAAGCUCGUUCUAACUGCACCUAUUUUGAGAACACUAACAGUCAGAUGCAUGCAGCAAGUCUCAGGGAUGACCUACCUGAACACAUUACCUAACAGCAUCCUUACUACCCAACGUUGUAUUCAAAACCAUAAAACUGCAAGUCUUUCAUAGUACCACAAAAGAUGGAGCCUGCCGAGUCCUUAGAGACUGAGACUUUGGCUCACUGAUGUCACCACAAAAAUUGUGAUUUUUGAGCAGAUUUUGCAGUAGGUCUGGAAAGAGGGUUUACUACUCAGAGAUAUGUCUCUGCCCUAAUGAGUUCUUUCCUAAUCCCUAUUUACUUCUGAACUACAUGCCCUAUCAACACUCUGUAAACUGCCUGCAAAAAAGUUUUAGGCAAGCUUCCCUGGAAGCCUGGGGGUGGGGAUUCAGAGAGGAGAUACCACCUGUGUAAGGAUAAGUCCCAUUAACAGCAAACUAUAGCUAAAAGCAUUACUACACAAUGCACAUAACCCUCAACAAUUUUAAAGCACUGCAAUGUCUACACUCCCAGACAGAGCUUCUUAGGAACCAAAAAGUAAGACCAAAUCUAACAAAUUGUCUCGUCAGUCACCCAGGCAGUCCAAAUAAUCACACCACGAAGGAAUCUGACAUUAUUAAGAAUUCAAUGAUAAAAAAAAUGAGAAGAGUAUCUAGAGCAGUUUUGUCCUGUUGGAAAAGGGACAAAUUGCAGUAUGAAGGGCAGUAACAGAGACUCAGUCCAUUCCUUGCGUAUGGUACAAUAUGCAGUUGAUAAAGCUGCAGAAACAUACACAGGGACAAAAAGCUCGUAUUUCACCGUUCACCAGUGUAAAACUCUCUGUGCUUAUAGUGCGACUGCUCUGGUCACUACUUACACAGUACAUAGUUCCUACCACAAAAAUACACAGAACUUAUGCUUUGCAUUUCUGUUGGAAAUUUCUUCCUCAAAUUUCAGUUUGCAAAUAAAAUACACACUGCAUGCAGCUGCCACACACACUUAGUAGAACACACUUCACCAGUUUUUUAAAAAAUGAAAGUAUCUGGUGUGUUCAGGAAAGAUUUGAAGUAUUCCAUCUCACAGGUAGUUUUACAAGUGCAAGUAGCAUUAAAUUAAUGCUACCAAAUACAUCACAUCAAUGCAUUUAUGCAAAUUAACAUCUACACCAGUUUAGACAAGUCAAAAAAUUUUAACCAAAGCCAGCGUCUCCUGCUUGAAGACACAUCAGAUACCUUCUGUCAGUUUAUCUGGCACACUCAGAGGGAGGAGAAAUUCAUAGCUUUCGCAUUUCCUGCUAGACUUGCCAACUUUUACUUAAGUACAAUCCUAUUUAUCUAGAUAUACCAGACUAAAUUAUUAUUAUCAUUAUUAAAUCCUACCAAUGCGCAUGACAUACCAACAGUCCUCCAGCAUAACUGCCUUCAAGCUCAGUAAGGCAAUCCUGAGUAUAAAUAUUUGUAAGAAGUCAGUAUAAUCCUAUGUAUACACACCCUUUUGUUUACUAAAACAUGUUUACAUUCUCUUCAAGAUGCCAGUAGUAGGUAAACUGUAUAAUAAUCUUGAUGCGUAGGAACAUGCAGUAAUAUGCCAAAGUAACAACCCUCAAAGAGCAAAUAAUCUGUUAAAAAAUAUUUUACACUGAAGCAACUGAGAAGGAAAAAAAGCCCAAAAAGCUGGUCAUGAUCAAAAAGAGAAGAAAGAUCUACAAUUCCUCUCCUCCUCCUGCCUCUGCAUACAAAACAUGAAAAAAAUUAAGAAUUAGGGCCUUGGAGAGCACUAGCUACCAGUCAACACAAACUUGACAUUCAAGAUGCUUGAACUCAUUCACUGAAAUUGAUUAGCUGGAAAAAAGAAAGGAUUAAUAACGCUAGUAUCUUUUGCACCAUUUCACUGGCCCCAGUUGUGCCUAGCAGUACUUAUCUCCUUACACCCUCCUGAAGAGAGGGGCAGACUGGAUGACAAGCCUCCCACUCCUCUUGCUUUUGGAAAACAAAUAGCCGGUGGCAGACAUCUCAAUCCCUUCUGACCAAGCUGCCCUGCACCAAGUAAAAUUACAGAUGUGCAAAAGUAUAGAAACACUAGCAACAAUUAUUGCUUAAUUUUAUGCUAAUAAGCAUGCCCAUGUUCACUGCUUCCACCAAGUUUACUCUCACACAACCCAGUACACUCUUAUCAACAUCACACUGCCUGAAGGUAACAAACCCGAAAAUCACACCAGGUAAAAAUGAGCAUCCUCUUAGACACAACAUUCGAGAAGCACAGACAACACACAAAAAAGUACUUGAGACUACACAGGCAUGAAAAUCAUCUUCACUUUGAGAUUACUAGUACCACAACAUUUGCGGUUAGAUAUAAACAAAGCAAAUGUCAUUGAAGACCGACUUCCACGGGCGGCUGCAGGCGCGCCUGUCCUCAGAGAUUGCAAGGGUUACAGUUAGCUGAAUUCCCGACACCUAAAUCCGACGCCAAGUUUAAUCUCGCAACAGAUGGUGAAGUAGAAGCAAUUCUUUGAUGCGUUUCUGUCUUGUGAGCCACCAGACUCCAGCUUAAAUCAACUACGGAGUAGUCCCCAGACUCGAGUUUGUAGAGUUCAUUACGAGCUUCCCUCCUUCCCGCAACUCACGGCCGCACCUGACUAAAUUAACAGCCGGGGCGGGGCUGUCGCGACAUGAAGAACCGUUUCACGGCAGAAGGCCCCCGCACAGGGCACGCGGGCGGCACCGGUUCCCCCUCAGGAGCCCCCGCCCCGCUGACCGGCGGCAGGAACUUCAGCCGCCGCCACCGCGGAGCCCCGAGCCUCCCCCGCCCGUCCCACCGGGGCCGCCCCCCUGUCCUGCUACUCUCCGGCGAGCCCGCAGUGACCCAACGCCAGUGAUGUUGACAUCAUAUUUGAUGCCUCAGUGCUGGCUGACCUAUUGGGAACCUCUAAGUCAUCCAAGCAACCGAGAAGGAUCCUAAGUAGCUGAAUGGUCGAGGUUGGAAGAGACCUCUGGAGAUCAUCCAGUCCAACCCCCUGCUAAAACAGGUUCACCUGGAGCAGGUUGCACAGAGUCACGUCCAGGUAUUAACUGAAACACUGAAUCUGACAAACUGGCACAUGGGCACUGACAGAGAGGGAGAAAACAUCGAACCAUUCACUGCUUGUCUCUUCUCUUAUGCUUGCAGUGCCCUUAUUCCUGUGGCGGGCUGGCUGCACGUGGCAGCAAGUGCAAAGCCUUGCUCACACCUUACUAAGCACCCACCAGAAGACAAAACAGCUAUCUGCCAGCAUCCCAUACUGGUUUCUCUUUUCUUCCCUGGAUUUUCUUCCUUGGAUUUCCUUCCAGUGAUGACACUCUUCAGCGUGAAAGCUGAGACAAAGAAAUACCUUACGAAGUGCAACAAAUAGCAUUCCUUGCAGCUUACAGACAAAUGACAACCAAAAAAUAUAUAACAGAUACAUUAGGUAAAGCUCUUUCAUCACGCAGAAAAGUAUCAUAAAAUAUAUGAUUUAUCAAAAUGCCAAUUUUACUGACAAUUACAGAAAUCACAUGCUGUUUUGACUUGGGAAUGAUCUUGUUUGUGACUGAGUUGAAAUUUAAACGUCUUUAAAUUUCUUUCGGGAUUUCUCUUUUGUUGUAGUUAUAUUGCUCUUUGCGAGCAAUCGGUAAUAGUAACAUCAACUGCAUCAGCAGAUGACCUGUGGGCUUAAAAGUCCUCCAAAAGGUUACAAACUGUUUCCUAGUCCUCUGACUGACAAGUAAGACUGUCUCUACUUUGCUAAAACAGAAAACACUGUACCCAACACAGCAGUCACUCUGUGGAAUACAAUUUUAACUGUAUGACAUAGUCCAAAGAUGUCCUGUGUUGCAGCUGACUUGCAGCCAUGAGUGAUUUUGGAGCUUUACAGUCAUGUCGUUGUUGGGUUUGUUGGUUUGCUUUUAUUUCAGAGGGCAGGCAUGGUCAUGGACUGCCAUGCUUUGAGAAGAAAUGACAGGUUAUUUAACCACUACACACACAGAUUGGCUCUCUCAAAACUGAACCAAGCCCUUAAAAAAAACCACCCAUAACAUAAAAUUCAAAACUUGUCAGAAAAUAUUAAUGAGUGCCAUUGUAAUAAUUUUACUAAUUUUCCUUCCUAUCUACAAGUUAAAGCAGUUUGCUGCUGUGGUGUUACGUCUAAAGAAAUAACACAGUUAACGAGCAAAUGUUUCGUUCAUACGUGGUGUAAAGAACCUGUGCAGCUGCAGCUGUGCUGAGCCCAUGUCAUAACACUCUUGAUCUGUGGUCAAGUAAAUACAACUUUCUUCCAACCCAUUAUCUAGAGAUUGUCAUGAAAUACUGUUGGGUUUCUAAUUCUUGCUUGGAAAUUCACUUUCUGGAAGAGUCACUAGGAAGGAUCUAAUUGUUAGAUUAUCUGGUAUUUUGAAAUCAUUUACAUUGUAUUGUUUGCUUGAAAAUGAUGUUAAUCACAGCAGCAACUGCAGGCAGCAGUUGGCUGUUCCUCCUUUUUCAGCCUCCUUUAAUUCCACUAGAUCAUGAAGUUUUUAGGACUGUGGCGCUUUGCAAGUUGCGUGGUUCUGGCCACUCUGUUCAGAGCAGUCCCAGAGGGGAGGUGGGGACUCUCAAACAGCUUUUCAGUGACACACUGAAAACAUCUGAGCCUACACUCUGAUGGAUCCUGAUGAUCAUUUUCCCCCAUCUUGAAGCAAAUCAUUUUGAUUUAUAGUCAACCUGUGGCACUCAGGAGAAAGAAGAGAUAGUCCAUGGACCUGUUCUGUCUGCCACUGCUCCUUCAGCUGAGUCAACGGUGAUACAUUGUCAGGGUGCUGUGCAAAGUCAGGGUUUUUCUGUGGUUACUUCUCUCCUGCCUUUGAGAAGCAUGGCCGCAGUUCAGUGACAUUUCCACAAGGGCAGCCCCUUCCUCGUUUGCCUCAUCCUUUAAACAUGGUACAAAAGAGAUGCUCAGAUUGUUCCCCUUGAAACACUGUUGGAAAACACCUGGAUAGCUAUAUCCCUCAUGGGAUUUCAGAUUCAGGACUUGGCAGCGCUGGCAAGCUACUCUGCUGGCUCCAGGGUGCCUGCUGCUCCUCCUGUACGCCACAGCCACCUUGCCUGGCAGCCUCAGUUCUGCC